CUGAGCAUACAGUGCUUAUUAAUAUACGUUGGGUAAGGGCAAAACCUGUUAUAUAUAAUUGUCCUAAGUAUACCUACCUUAGCCUAGCUUUUAACCAUUCGGAAGUGAGACAUGUAUUUCAUAUGUUAAACUGGUUGUCAAAGUUUAUUGAGAGAAAACCAGAGAUAGACUGACAUGUUUCAGUCAAAGUAGAAGAUAAGCUCAAUCUCUCACUGGUAGAGUUGUAUUUAAAUAUUAUCGGCACAUUUUUCCAGUUGUUUUACGGCAAAAUGUUUUAUUCCACAUUCAUCUUCCCAAACCGGUGUUCACUGUUGUUGCCUUUCGUGGUUCCGUUUUCUUAUUUCAAGUUAUCGUGAAUCUCUGACUAGAAAAGUGAUCAUCUAUCUUACAUUUCUGUUAGUACUGCAGUAAAGAGCCCCAUCCAUUACACUUUCAUUACCAGCUUAAAUUAAGGCAAACAAUGAGGAAGUAUCUCUUUCAUGGAUUCAGGUGGACCUGAGCAUCAAACCUUUCAGGCCUUCGUAACCAAUCCUAGCUUUCUUUAGUCUCAGCAACUUGAACCAGCUGAUGGACGUGAGAGUAUAAUCAUCAGAGCUCUAAUCUCGGCAAUGGUUGGACUGACUUCAGCCUCAAACCAUCCACACUUGAGUGACCAGUCCAAGUGAAUUUAAGCCUCAAACAAUCUUGCUUGAGUGACCAACCCUAGCUGUAGUCUCAGCAACAUGAACCAGCAGGUGGACUUGAGCCUCGAACCAUCCAGGAUUGAGUGACCAACCCUAGCUCUAGUCUCAGCAACAUGAACAAUGAGGCGGACUUGAGCCUCAGACCAUCCAGGCAUGAUCUGAGUGACCAGUUCUAGCUUUUGAGUCUCUUACAAGACUUGAUGCUGCAAUUACAGUGGUCUGCCAUCUUGAAGAAUCAGUUUUCUUGAUGAUGUGUGGGCAGAAGUGGUUCCUGUCUGCCGUGUUAUUUGCCGUGGCUUCAAUUGACAAACCUUGACAGCACAAACCAGAUGCUACAAUGCUUAAAGAUUAGAUUUGCAGAAAAAAUGUGUACAGACUAUCUUCUGAUGGUAAACAUGGUUUAAGGCUUUUUGUCUUGUUUGGGACAGUUGUAGGCUUUCUGGAAUAGGGAAUACGAGUAGAUGUUUAAGUUAACGUUGAACAUGCACAACUUCAUUUUACACAACAAAUCCAUAUUUUUAGAACUGCUUUUCAGGGUGUAUUUUAGUCUAUUGAAAAAGAAAUCAAGCAUGUUUUAAGUUACUUUUGCUAGAAAAAAAGUCACAUCUGAGUAAAUAAAAAUUACAAAGCAUUAGACAAAGUGUUCACUCAAGUGGAGACAUUUCAAAAUGUCCAUCAUACGUACUGUUCAUGAUUGCACAAAGUAAUCACUAUUGUUCGUUUUUUAAGCUGUGAAAUAGGACUCAUAAAUUCUUGAGAAAUCUGGAGAAAGUAACUGAUGUACCAUUUUUACUGCUUUUCAUUUUUUCCUGAAUUUUUGAGAUUUUUUGCAUAAUUUUCGUCAGAUUGUAGGAACUUCUUAUUCAAAAUAAGCAAGUACUUGUAUUGCCCACCAUGUUCCUUGAACGUAUAUAGCAAGAUAGACUUAGAGGCUUACUACCAAACUUUCUAAUGGCCCAAAAAAGUUAAAAAU